GGCGGCGUGCUUAACACAUGCAAGUGGUGCGACGAACCAGGGCUUGCCCUGGGGCAAAGCCGCGAACGGGUGAGUAACACGUGAGUAACCUGCCCCGAUGACCGGGACAACCCGAGGAAACUCGGGCUAAUACCGGAUGUGGCGCACAGGCGUAAGCCUGUUCGCUAAAGGAAGCUUCGGCCUCCGCAUUGGGAGGGGCUCGCGGCCCAUUAGCUUGUUGGUGGGGUCAAGGCCUACCAAGGCGACNAUGGGUAGCUGGUCUGAGAGGACGAUCAGCCACACUGGGACUGAGACACGGCCCAGACUCCUACGGGAGGCAGCAGUGGGGAAUCUUGCGCAAUGCGCGAAAGCGUGACGCAGCAACGCCGCGUGGGGGAAGACGGCCUUCGGGUUGUAAACCCCUUUCA
rnacentral:rRNA from 1 species